rnacentral:misc_RNA from 1 species
GAAAUGCGAUAAGUAAUGUGAAUUGCAGAAUUCAGUGAAUCAUCGAAUCUUUGAACGCACCUUGCGCUCCUUGGUAUUCCUUGGAGCAUACCUGUUUGAGUAUCAUGAAAUCUUCAAAGUAAAUCUUUUGUUAACUCAAUUGGUUUCUACUUUGGUAUUGGAGGUCUUUGCAGCUUCACACCUGCUCCUCUUUGUUCAUUAGCUGGAUCUCAGUGUUAUGCUUGGUUCCACUCUGCGUGAUAAGUUAUCUAUCGCUGAGGACACUGUAAAAGGUGGCCAAGGUAAAUGCAGAUGAACCGCUUCUAAUAGUCCAUUGACUUGGACAAUACUUUUAUGAUCUGAUCUCAAAUCAGGUAGGACUACCCGCUGAACUUAAGC